AAAACAACGUCGCCGUUUAUUUAGUUCAGCAAUACCAACAAUGUUUCUACCAAUUUUGGCUUCACCUUAUAGUUUGACUGAGUCUAAUACUAACGUACCUGGGCCUUCGCAUCACAAUACCGGCCAAAGUUUAUCAUCAAAAACAGAAGUGCAUUCUGAAGUUAAUACAAUAAUUGAAGACCAGACUCUUGCGCCGUGCGGUCUACUAGAUGAUAGUCACAUUCUUAGGCCUUCCCAUGUUUAUGAAAGUCCCGUAAGCUUAAUUUUAUAAUAUUUCACAUAUUACUUUAUAACUAAGUAGUUCUGUUAAGUCCACUAUUAAUAUUUCUUAUUAUAU